rnacentral:rRNA from 1 species
GCAUGGGGGUAUGUGGAAAGUUUUUUCGGUUGGGGAUGGGCUCGCGGCCUAUCAGCUUGUUGGUGGGGUAAAGGCCUACCAAGGCGACGACGGGUAGCCGGCCUGAGAGGGCGACCGGCCACACUGGGACUGAGACACGGCCCAGACUCCUACGGGAGGCAGCAGUGGGGAAUAUUGCACAAUGGGGGAAACCCUGAUGCAGCGACGCCGCGUGAGGGAUGACGGCCUUCGGGUUGUAAACCUCUUUCAGCAGGGAAGAAGCCCCCUCGGGGGUGACGGUACCUGCAGAAGAAGUACCGGCUAACUACGUGCCAGCAGCCGCGGUAAUACGUAGGGUACAAGCGUUGUCCGGAAUUAUUGGGCGUAAAGAGCUCGUAGGCGGUUCGUCGCGUCUGCUGUGGAAACGCAAGGCUCAACCUUGCGCGUGCAGCGGGUACGGGCGUAACUAGAGUGCAGUAGGGGAGUCUGGAAUUCCUGGUGUAGCGGUGAAAUGCGCAGAUAUCAGGAGGAACACCGGUGGCGAAGGCGGGACUCUGGGCUGUUACUGACGCUGAGGAGCGAAAGCAUGGGGAGCGAACAGGAUUAGAUACCCUGGUAGUCCAUGCCGUAAACGUUGGGCACUAGGUGUGGGGCUCAUUCCACGAGUUCCGUGCCGCAGCU